AGGCGCCAACCCGCGGCCCGGCGGCGGUACCUCAUCAGGCGGCCGGCGCCUCCCGGCCGGCGCCGCUGCCCAGGCCGCGGCCGCCGGCCGCCUCCAUCGCCGCCGUCGAGGCCGAAAGCUGGAAACAGUGGAUACAUCUCUGUUGCUGUUAGAGGUCACUUGCUGAUUUAUCUCCAAUUCGCAGCUCAUUAGAAGAGUCUAUGUGAUGAGUGGGGCACACAGUGCUCCAUUGUUUUGAGCUCCUCCAAACUCUACGUUGAGCUGUGCUGUUUCAGGCAAAAGAAAUGGAUUCCCAGCUAGUGAAAAUUUGGUGUCAUCCUGAAAUCAAUGGGGACAUGCAAGAGUACAUUUGCGGUGCACCAAGCCCACACUGAGUCAUCAUACUGGACUUCCGUUCCCUCUACCAAAUCCCAGUUUUACCAAGGGAUACUUUUUCCUCUUAGAGGGAAAACCAUGCCAGUCCUUGUGUACUAAUGCCAAAUGCUGCUUUCUUUUAUUUCCUUCAAAGCAUUGGAUUUUUCCUUCAGGAGGUGCGACUUAAUAACAUCUCUCUGCGCAGUGAGAUAAUUGCUGUAACGACCAAAGCGGCGUGCUGAAACUUUGGAGGGCCUUCACGUGCCCCUCGGCACCCACGGCAGCACGGAGGAGCGGGUUCUGAGCGCCGUCGCAGAGCGAAUCCUCCUUGCGCCGCGGUCCUUGUCUGCAGUCACCACGGAGAAAACCAUCUGUUCCACUUGGAAGGGGGUUUGGUUCCACGCGCCCUCCCCCCGCAUCCCAGCUCCGUCCCCAGCUGCCGUGUUUUGAUGAGCAGUGAGGGAAUGAAUCUCCUGUGUUAAAAAUACUCUGGUUCUAUUUAGAUAAAAAGAAGAAUCUUGCUUGCCUACACUGACAUACAAAAAUAGCCUUAGUGUGAGUAAAUCUUCAAAGUUUCUCUUGGUGAAAAUAUCUAGCCUCACUUUUUUUUUUUAACUUAUCACAUAAAUUUAUUUAUAGAGUAUCCUUCUUUCCUCCUACUCUAUCAAGACAUUUGCAGAAGGUUGCUGCUCGUCUUGUUCCUGAGUCCUGAAAUAAUUUGCAGGGCCUUUGAAACAUCAUCAUGUUGCAUAGUUGUGAUGCAAUGUGCUGCUGUUGCAUGAACGUAUCGUAUUUUAAUGCGAAUGUCAUGUUAGCUGAGAUUCAAGUCUUUCUUUUACUUUAGGCACUUUACACCGGUUUGUAUUUUCACUUUAACGUUGCAGUCAAAAAAUUCUGUAUAUAGUGACUUAAAAUUUUACAUUCUCCAUGCAAACCAUUGCAUAGAAAAUUAAUAUGUAAUAUGAGAGGAUUAACAGGAUGCAUAUACUUUCCAAAUAUCUCUUAAAAAUAGCUUUCACUGUCACUGUAGCAUCUUAAUUCUGAAUAAUCUCCAAGUCCUCCUGCAAAUCUGUGCAUAUAGUAACGGAGAAACCACCUACUUCAUCCUCACAAACUGCACGAUAUGUAUCUGUACGUGAAAAAAAUUGGAUUUUGGAGUACAGUUCUGCUCCAGCAGAUACGAUGCCUGUGUGACUAGCGAAAGCAUUAAUGCUUGCAUUAAAUAUUAACGCAA